rnacentral:tRNA from 1 species
GCUCUCGUAGCUCAGUUGAUUAGAGUGUCUGCUUAGUUAGCAGAGGUCUUGAGUUCAACUCUCAACAUAAGCA